rnacentral:rRNA from 1 species
UACGUAGGGGGCUAGCGUUGUUCGGAUUUACUGGGCGUAAAGCGUGCGUAGGCGGUUGGGAAAGUCUGGCGUGAAAACUGCACCGCUCAACGGGCAGCCUGCGCCGGAAACUAUCCAACUGGAGAGCAGAAGAGGAAAGCGGAAUUCCAGGUGUAGCGGUGGAAUGCGCAGAUAUCUGGAAGAACACCAGUGGCGAAGGCGGCUUUCUGGUCUGUUUCUGACGCUGAGGCACGAAAGCCAGGGGAGCGAACGGG